AGUGAACGCUGGCGGCAGGCCUAACACAUGCAAGUCGAGCGGCAGCGCGUCCGACCACCCUCGGGUGGUCGGAUGGCGGCGAGCGGCGGACGGGUGAGGAAUGCAUCGGAAUCUGCCUCGUUGUGGGGGAUAACGUAGGGAAACUUACGCUAAUACCGCAUACGACCUACGGGUGAAAGUGGGGGACCUUCGGGCCUCACGCGAUGAGAUGAGCCGAUGCCGGAUUAGCUAGUUGGUGAGGUAAAGGCUUACCAAGGCGACGAUCCGUAGCUGGUCUGAGAGGAUGAUCAGCCACACUGGGACUGAGACACGGCCCAGACUCCUACGGGAGGCAGCAGUGGGGAAUUUUGGACAAUGGGCGCAAGCCUGAUCCAGCCAUGCCGCGUGAGUGGAGAAGGCCUCGGUUGUAAGACGUCUUUCUACGUCAGAACGAAACGGACGAGGCGUUUAAUACUAGACCUGCUAAUGACGGUACCUGCAGAAGAAGACGACCGGACCG
rnacentral:rRNA from 1 species